AGAGUUUGAUCAUGGCUCAGGACGAACGCUGGCGGCGCGCCUAACACAUGCAAGUCGAACGAGAGAGAGGAAGCUUGCUUCCUCAAUCGAGUGGCGAACGGGUGAGUAACGCGUGAGGAACCUGCCUCAAAGAGGGGGACAACAGUUGGAAACGACUGCUAAUACCGCAUAAGCCCACAGGUCGGCAUCGACCAGAGGGAAAAGGAGCAAAUCCGCUUUGAGAUGGCCUCGCGUCCGAUUAGCUAGUUGGUGAGGUAAUGGGCCCACCAAGGGCAACGAUCGGUAGCCGGACUGAGAGGUUGAACGGCCACAUUGGGACUGAGACACGGCCCAGACUCCGUACGGGAGGCA
rnacentral:rRNA from 1 species